GACGAACGCUGGCGGCGUGCCUAAUACAUGCAAGUAGAACGCUGAAGGAGGAGCUUGCUUCUCCGGAUGAGUUGCGAACGGGUGAGUAACGCGUAGGUAACCUGCCUGGUAGCGGGGGAUAACUAUUGGAAACGAUAGCUAAUACCGCAUAAGAGUAGAUGUCGCAUGACAUUUGCUUAAAAGGUGCAACUGCACCACUACCAGAUGGACCUGCGUUGUAUUAGCUAGUUGGUGAGGUAACGGCUCACCAAGGCAACGAUACAUAGCCGACCUGAGAGGGUGAGCGGCCACACUGGGACUGAGACACGGCCCAGACUCCUACGGGAGGCAGCAGUAGGGAAUCUUCGGCAAUGGACGGAAGUCUGACCGAGCAACGCCGCGUGAGUGAAGAAGGGUUUCGGAUCGUAAAGCUCUGUUGUACGAGAAGAACGAGUGUGAGAGUGGAAAGUUCACACUGUGACGGUAGCUUAACAGAAAGGGACGGCUAACUACGUG
rnacentral:rRNA from 1 species